CACUCCUGCGGGAGGCAGCAGUGGGGAAUAUUGCACAAUGGGCGCAAGCCUGAUGCAGCCAUGCCGCGUGUAUGAAGAAGGCCUUCGGGUUGUAAAGUACUUUCAGCGGGGAGGAAGGCAAUACGGUUAAUAACCGUGUUGAUUGACGUUACCCGCAGAAGAAGCACCGGCUAACUCCGUGCCAGCAGCCGCGGUAAUACGGAGGGUGCAAGCGUUAAUCGGAAUUACUGGGCGUAAAGCGCACGCAGGCGGUCUGUCAAGUCGGAUGUGAAAUCCCCGGGCUCAACCUGGGAACUGCAUUCGAAACUGGCAGGCUUGAGUCUUGUAGAGGGGGGUAGAAUUCCAGGUGUAGCGGUGAAAUGCGUAGAGAGCUGGAGGAAUACCGGUGGCGAAGGCGGCCCCCUGGACAAAGACUGACGCUCAGGUGCGAAAGCGUGGGGAGCAAACAGGAUUAGAAACCCCAGUAGUCCCAUGAU
rnacentral:rRNA from 1 species